UACGUAGGGCGCAAGCGUUGUCCGGAAUUAUUGGGCGUAAAGAGCUCGUAGGCGGUUUGUCGCGUCUGCUGUGAAAACCUAAGGCUCAACCUUGGGCUUGCAGUGGGUACGGGCAGACUAGAGUGCGGUAGGGGUGACUGGAAUUCCUGGUGUAGCGGUGGAAUGCGCAGAUAUCAGGAAGAACACCCGUGGCGAAGGCGGCUCUCUGGGGCCGUAAACUGAC
rnacentral:rRNA from 1 species